GGGGCCAUAGUUCAGUGGCAGAACAUCUGCUUUGAAUGCAGAAGGUCCCAGGUUCAAUUCCUGGCAUCUCCA